rnacentral:rRNA from 1 species
CCUACGGGAGGCAGCAGUGAGGAAUAUUGGUCAAUGGACGCAAGUCUGAACCAGCCAUGCCGCGUGCAGGAAGACGGCUCUAUGAGUUGUAAACUGUUUUUGUACGAGGGAAAGCGCAGAUACUUGUAUCUUUCCGAAAUGACGUUACGAGUAAGGAACGGCCAACCCCGUGCCAGCAGCCGCGGUAAGACGGAGGAUACAAGCGUUAUCCGGAUUGAUUGGGUUUAAAGGGUGCGUAGGCGGUCUGAUAAGUUAGAGGUGAAAUCCCGAGGCUCAACUUCGGAAUUGCCUCUGAUACUGUUCGGCUAGAGAGUAGUUGCGGUAGGCAGAAUGUAUGGUGUAGCGGUGAAAUGCUUAGAGAUCAUACAGAACACCGAUUGCGAAGGCAGCUUACCAAGCUACUUCUGACGUUGAGGCACGAAAGCGUGGGGAGCAAACAGGAUUAGAUACCCCAGUAGUC